rnacentral:rRNA from 1 species
GACGAACGCUGGCGGCGUGCUUAACACAUGCAAGUCGAGCGGUAAGGCCCUUUCGGGGGUACGACGAGCGGCGAACGGGUGAGUAACACGUGGGUGACCUGCCCUCAGCUCUGGGAUAAGCCUGGGAAACUGGGUCUAAUACCGGAUAUGACUUCAUGACGCAUGUUGUGGAGUGGAAAGCCUUGUGCGGCUGAGGAUGGGCCCGCGGCCUAUCAGCUUGUUGGUGGGGUGAUGGCCUACCAAGGCGACGACGGGUAGCCGGCCUGAGAGGGCGACCGGCCACACUGGGACUGAGAUACGGGCCCAGACUCCUACGGGAGGCAGCAGUGGGGAAUCUUGCGCAAUGGGCGAAAGCCUGACGCAGCGACGCCGCGUGAGGGAUGAC